UAACGGCCAAACUUUAAAUUAUAUAUAGAGCAGUUGGAUGCUUUCCAGGACCUCGAUGCAGAAUCACGUUGCCCUGAGCCACUUAGAAUAUCUAGACGCUGGGGAAAACGUGGAAAAGAAGACGGUCUCCUUACAUCUGCCAGGUACAGAGUUUUGGCAGUGUCUUAGCUGUUCCGAGUUUUGACCCUCGAGGUAACUCCGUCAGGGAACUGGAGCCUCUCGCAGAGUAACGUUUUCCUUCUUGCGACGUUGGCGCAGGUUGACUGGUGGAGACUUCCUUGUGCUUCUAACACAUCGAAGUAACAGGAGGCCACAGUCCUGUGUGAGAGGGACGUGGUGACUGGGUGGAGGGCUUGACCCGUUCUUUCAGACGCACAUUGUCUUAGCACAUCCACAGUUACCGGUGCGUGGCUGAGGAGGGAGAGAGACGGCUUGAAACAGAAGUCAUAGAGGAACUUCCCAGCUGGAAAAGGAAACGCUGAUUCAAGCGCGGUUACGGCCUCAUGGGUAAUCUUACGUGUCCCUUGAGUGGGUCAUAGGCUGCCCAGAUGUCUGGUUAAAUAUGCCUCUGGGCGUGUCUCCGAGGCUGUUUCCGAAUCCCGUUAGCAUUUGAGUGCAGGCACUCAGUAAAGCAGAUUUCCCUCCCGCUGUGGGUGGGCCUCCCCCAACCCGCUGAAGGCACAGAUAGGCUAAAAAGGAGGAGAAAGGGGCAUUGGUGCCCUCUGCGUGCUGCGUGAGCUGGGACAUCCACCUUCUCCCGCACUCGCGGUUCUUGGCCUGUGGGUUUGGACCGGCUGCCCCGGAUCCCCAGUCCGGCUCUUCGUGUGCGUCGCCUUGGGAGGAGGAGACGUCCCUGCCACCCUGCAGCUACAGACAGGGAGAGAGAAGGUUCUUCCUACAGUCCAGUGCACCUGUUGAGCAGAGCCAGCCAGGGUCAAGUCCGCGGCUGCCGGCCCCGGCCUCCGAGAGCCGUGAGGAAGCCGGGCUGCGACCCCAGUGCCCGGAUGGACACCCCUCUGCUUCCCUUUCCUCUGCACGCAAACCUGCCCCCGUUUAUUUUUAACUUGUCAAAUUGUCCGGCAGGAGUAGGAAAGGAACCUGCUUUUGUGAACACCCCCCCAAAAGCAAUUGCAUAA
rnacentral:lncRNA from 1 species